AGAUUCUUUUCUCUUUCUUAAAGUUCUAAUUUCCACUUUCUUUCCCUCACUACAGGGGCCAAUCCUGUUACCUUCUUCAUCUCACCUUUCUCAUCAGCUACACCAAUAACUGCUGAUCUGUUGCCAUCAACAGGCAAGAGCUCUGGGAGUAGCAGCACAUCACUGACUACCAGUCUAAAUUGAGCCUAGUCUUUGCAGCUUCCAUCUGAAGAAGCAACCCCUGUGGAGAAGGGGCCAGCCAUCCCCACCACUGCUACACACAGCUCAGUCAAACCAGCAACCCUGAGGGAGAGAUAGGAGGCAGGGCAGUCAGACUUGCCAGAUUUACUAAAUUGAUGAGAAGCAUCUUGGCAUAAUGAAUAGAGAACUGCCCUCAGAGUCAGGAACAUCUGGAUUCCAAGAUCUGCCUCUUGAUGCAUGUUUCUGGGGUAACUGGGGUGGAGUAUCUUGGACUGAGACUGCAGCUUGGAACUAUGACUUGGACCUGGGACUCUGGAUCUUGGACUGCUUCUGGUAAGACUGCUCCUGAAUCUUCUUUGGAGCUUCGACCAGGGUGAGUGAGAAGCUGACUGUCUUUUCCUGGCUUCUGGAGAGAUUCGUUCCAGAGAGGCCUCCCCUUCUUGGAGGAGGCUACAUGGGUAGAACCCUUGUUUAAUUUACCACCAGGCCACCCCGUUGGGGUUAAGGAGCCCUGCCAGAGUUGAACAGACACCAGAGCAAAUGUUUAGUGUGAUAGGAUAAACAGCUCUUCUAUCCUCUUUUUCAUUUCUCUAAUUUCACUAUCUCCACCUUUUUUGUAAAUAAAAGCUACU
rnacentral:lncRNA from 1 species